GCUGUGGAGAAGAGCCACGGCGAGAAAACGGAGACAGCGAACCGGGCGAGAAAAAAUGGAAAGAUCCGGAGUCCGUUUGCCUCUUUUGCGCUCAAGAGUUCGUUAGUCUUCUUCGCGAGUGUCUUCAAAAGGUUCUUUGAAACUUGUGAAACUUUUGAAAUUUUUCUUUGGACGCAAAAGAAAUAAAAUCGCCAAGGUAUUUCUCUAAAAGUGUGCCUGAGGAGAAACUGGUGAAGUCCCUCCAGGACGAGCGGAUCUUAGGGUAACAGGUUCUUCUCUUUCAAUUCUGCUGCAGUCCUUCCGCUGAGUCCAGCAGAACGGAAAAGUUUCCAGUCUCGACUGCUGAAGAGAAACCAGGCAGAGGGGAUCGAACUGCGCGCGCGAGGCCUCGCGGUGUCGACCCUUCUGGUCAUAAAACGUCGUGUAUUUUUGGACGUUGCGUCCAUGCCGUAGAAAGGACUAUUUAUGGGGAGUGUCUGCUGUGUGUGAGUUUAAAACAGAGAUGAAGUUUUGUGUGAGUCGACGAGGCCGUUGCUCGCGUCUAACAGGAGUAAGUGAAAGUCAAGUCCGAAGCACGCAGGUAGACACACUCCUUGCACGGUCUGUUCCUCCUGAACUUGGCAGUUUCAGCAGAAGGGAUGUUCACCGGGAGCAAGUCUGCUAAACUUCUUCAGCGAGUCUUGCUCCACAGCAGGGAUCGCACGACACCCCGAAGAACAAAGCGCACUCGAGGCUCGCAUGGCUGGGACUUCGCUCUUGCUGUUUACGAAAACCUUUUGGUCGCCAAACUCGCAGACAGUGCUCAGAGUCAGUCGUUUGUGGCGGACGUUUGAACUCACAAAAUUCUGUCGUCUUCGUGCCUCCUGGAACUCGAGAAGGCGUUCCAUCUGAGACCUCUCACGUCCCAAAGUGCGGUUGUUCGCGGCGUUAACAUCAAUGCCAUCGAGACCGAUGGGGCGUUCCUAUUGAUGUCUGCAACAAGGGAAUGAAAUACAACGGCUUUUAAACUCACUGGUGUGUCUGACUGGAGACGCCUUUGAAAAACUCGAUGUUCGUGAUGGCUCUAGACGGGCACAAGUUCCUGAAGGGUAGAAAGGGGAGUUCGAGCGACAACGCCGUUUCCGCGUAAACGACGAGCUCGGGCGGUGGGCAUGUGGAGAAAAAGACAAAAAAACGAAAUGGAGGAAGAGCGUCGGUCGAAAACUGUCGGGACGAGAGAUCGGGAGAGAGGGGAGCGAAGGUCGUAGAAAGAAGUGAAAGACUCUCUGACCAGUGUGUUUCAGAGCGACAGACUGUGGAAAAACCGGUUCUGAUGCCGCUAUGAAAAUCACAUCCCUGUUUCUUAGUGAAUCUCAUAAUUUGCGUUCAAGCGGCUGCCUCUCAAUCAAUCCCCUCUCCCGAUACAACCUGGGUGCCAGUCGCGAGCUGCGCAU
rnacentral:lncRNA from 1 species